UGACAGUGUAGCUUUAGGCAGAUCACUCCGAGCUUGGUUUUCAUAUCAUGAGAAAAAGGGAACUGGGAUUGUCUUUUCAGGGCAGAGUUUCUGUUUGUGCAUAUUUGCCAAAGUGGAGGUACAAAUUAUAGCACGGUGGAUGCUUGCGCCGGAAUGCCUGGGCUGGAAUUCUGGCUCUUCUGCUUAUCAACUGUGUAACUCCGGUCAAGAGAAGGAGAAAGUUCUGGGCCUGGAAAGGGGCUACUCUCACCCAUGGCAUGGCUGGCCCUCAGCUGCCUCUGGCUGGAGCAACUGCUUUACAGUGGGUAGGAUUCACUGCUCCUGGUAAAGAUAUUUUCAAGGCAGUGAUCUCUCCAACCAGCAAAACCACUGAGCAUCAAGCUAAAAUCAGAAUUAUAAGAAGCAACAUUACAACUGAUGCCACAGAAAUGGAAAUUAUUAUAAGAGAAAAAAUUCAACAGUUGUAUCCCAACAGAUUGAAUAACCUAGAUGAAAUAAAUAAAUGCCUAGAAACAUACACCUUACCAAGACUGAAUCAUGGAGAAACAGAAACAUCUGAAGAGACCUAAAAGUAGUAAGGAGAUUGGAUGAGUGAUUAAAAAUCCUCCCAUUGCAACAACAAAGCCCAGAACCAGAUGACUUCAAUGGUGAAUUCUACCAAAUGUUUUAAAAAGAAUUAAUACCAAUCUUCUUCAUCUUCCAAAACAUUGAAGCAGAGGUAACAUUUUCAAACUCAUUCCAUGAGGCCAGAUUUAACCUGUUACCAAAGACGGAUCAAGACUAUGCAAGAAAACUAAAGACCAGUAAUCCCAAUGAAUAUUGAUGCAACAAUUCCCAACAAAAUACUAGCAAACCAAAUUUAAUAGCAUAUUAAAAUAAUUAUAAUCUAUGACCAAGUAGCAUUUUUUUCUGGAAUGUAAGAGUGAUUCAACAUACAAAAAUGAAUCAAUGUAACACCUCACAUUAAUGGAAGUUUUUCAAAAACAGAUUAUCAUCUCAAUUGUUACAAAAAAAUCAUUUGACAUAAUUCCACACCUUUGUAUGAUAAAAACACCCAACAAAUUAGGAAUAGAAGAAAACUACCUAAACAUAAUAAACGCCAUAUUUUUUAAAACCUGCA
rnacentral:lncRNA from 13 species